rnacentral:rRNA from 1 species
CAGCCGCCGCGGUAAUACCGGCGGCCCGAGUGGUGGCCGCUAUUAUUGGGCCUAAAGCGUCCGUAGCCGGGCCCGUAAGUCCCUGGCGAAAUCCCACGGCUCAACCGUGGGGCUUGCUGGGGAUACUGCGGGCCUUGGGACCGGGAGAGGAGGGGGGUACCCCUGGGGUAGGGGUGAAAUCCUAUAAUCCCAGGGGGACCGCCAGUGGCGAAGGCGCCCCGCUGGAACGGGUCCGACGGUGAGGGACGAAGGCCAGGGGAGCAAACCGGAUUAGAUACCCGGGUAGUCCUGGCUGUAAAGGAUGCGGGCUAGGUGUCGGGUGAGCUUCGAGCUCGCCCGGUGCCGUAGGGAAGCCGUUAAGCCCGCCGCCUGGGGAGUACGGCCGCAAGGCUGAAACUUAAAGGAAUUGGCGGG